AGAAAUUUUAUUGACUAGCUUUUCUUUAGAGUGACUUUUAUUUUCCUGAUGGUUGUACUACCCAGUCCCACUAAGAUCAUAAUUUGCAGCGUGAGACAAAAUGAACCCCCUUGUAUGCAUCCUCGUGGUCCUUAUAAGUAUAAGGGUAUGCUCUCUGAUAUAUUUCAUAUUCUAUAGAUAAGAUUGCGCGUGUGCUGUUUUAAAGCAUGUGUUGAAUACAAAGGAUGUUUGUAUACCAGACACUUCUUUUCGUUGGUACCUUUUGCGUAAUA
rnacentral:misc_RNA from 1 species